rnacentral:piRNA from 1 species
UAGUUGUUUACUAUAUGGGAAGUGAUACU